rnacentral:rRNA from 1 species
GUGUCAGCAGCCGCGGUAAUACAGAGGGUGCGAGCGUUGUCCGGAAUCACUGGGCGUAAAGGGCGCGUAGGCGGUCUGCUAAGCGUGCGGUGAAAGCCCGGGGCUCAACCCCGGGUCGGCCGUGCGAACUGGUGGACUGGAGCUUGUCAGAGGCAGGCGGAAUUCCGGGUGUAGCGGUGGAAUGCGUAGAGAUCCGGAAGAACACCGGUGGCGAAGGCGGCCUGCUGGGACAGUGCUGACGCUGAAGCGCGACAGCGUGGGGAGCAAACAGGAUUAGAUACCCUGGUAGUCC